GAACAAAGUCACCCGACUGAAGUGGUGUACACUUUGGAUGAAGGUUGGCAAUAAUAAUUUGCAAUUCUCCGUGCCUCUCAAUUUCUAUGUUUAUGAAGAUGGCCUCGAACAAGAUGCUACAUU